GUUCCGACCUGCACGAAUGGCGUAACGACUUCCCCGCUGUCUCCAGCAGAGACUCAGUGAAAUUGAAUUCCCCGUGAAGAUGCGGGGUUCCUGCGGUCAGACGGAAAGACCCCGUGCACCUUUACUACAGCUUCGCAGUGGCGUUAGUGGCGAUAUGUGUAGGAUAGGCGGGAGGCUUUGAAACCGGAGCGCCAGUUCCGGUGGAGCCAUCCUUGAAAUACCGCCCUUAUCCUCAUUGACGUCUAACCGCGGUCCAUGAACCUGGAUCCGGGACCCUGCGUGGUGGGUAGUUUGACUGGGGCGGUCGCCUCCCAAAUGGUAACGGAGGCGCGCGAAGGUGGGCUCAGAGCGGUCGGAAAUCGCUCGUUGAGUGCA
rnacentral:rRNA from 1 species